CACGGGUGCGUAACGCGUGGGAAUCUGCCCUUGGGUACGGAAUAACUCAGAGAAAUUUGUGCUAAUACCGUAUAAUGUCUUCGGACCAAAGAUUUAUCGCCCAAGGAUGAGCCCGGCGUAAGAUUAGCUAGUUGGUGGGGUAAAAGCCUACCAAGGCGACGAUCUUUAGCUGGUCUGAGAGGAUGAUCAGCCACACUGGGACUGAGACACGGCCCAGACUCCUACGGGAGGCAGCAGUGGGGAAUAUUGGACAAUGGGCGAAAGCCUGAUCCAGCAAUGCCGCGUGAGUGAUGAAGGCCUUAGGGUUGUAAAGCUCUUUUACCCGGGAUGAUAAUGACAGUACCGGGAGAAUAAGCUCCGGCUAACUCCGUGCCAGCAGCCGCGGUAAUACGGAGGGAGCUAGCGUUGUUCGGAAUUACUGGGCGUAAAGCGCGCGUAGGCGGUCUUUUAAGUCAGAGGUGAAAGCCCGGGGCUCAACCCCGGAAUAGCCUUUGAAACUGGAAGACUUGAAUCUUGGAGAGGUCAGUGGAAUUAACGAGUGUAGAGGUGAAAUUCGUAGAUAUUCGG
rnacentral:rRNA from 1 species